UUGACCUCGGAUCAGGUAGGACUACCCGCUGAACUUAAGCAUAUCAAUAAGCGGAGGAAAAGAAACCAACAGGGAUUGCCCCAGUAACGGCGAGUGAAGCGGCAACAGCUCAGAUUUGGAAUCUGGCCCCCAGGGCCCGAGUUGUAAUCUGGAGAGGAUGCUUCUGGCGCGGCGCCUUCCGAGUUCCCUGGAACGGGACGCCGGAGAGGGUGAGAGCCCCGUACGGUUGGACGCCUAGCCUUUGUGAAGCUCCUUCGACGAGUCGAGUAGUUUGGGAAUGCUGCUCAAAAUGGGAGGUAAAUUUCUUCUAAAGCUAAAUACCGGCCAGAGACCGAUAGCGCACAAGUAGAGUGAUCGAAAGAUGAAAAGCACUUUGAAAAGAGGGUCAAACAGUACGUGAAAUUGUUGAAAGGGAAGCGCCCGUGGCCAGACUUGUGCCCCGCGGACCACCCGGCGCCCUCAGCGCCGGUGCACUCCGCGGGGCGCAGGCCAGCAUCGGUUUUCCUAGGGGGAUAAAGGCGGCGGGAACGUGGCUCCCUCGGGAGUGUUAUAGCCCGCCGCGCCAUGCCCCUGGGGGGACCGAGGACCGCGCUUCGGCAAGGAUGCUGGCGUAAUGGCCACCGGCGAC
rnacentral:rRNA from 1 species